GACGAACGCUGGCGGCGUGCCUAAUACAUGCAAGUCGAACGCAGGGGGAGCGGGGGAGUAACAAGUUGGUAACCUCCCAUCAGAAGGGAUAACACUUGGAAACAGGAGCUAAACCGACACUGGUGGAAGGACCCACGGUGCAUUAGGUACUUGGUGGGGUAAGGGCGCACCAAGGCCACGAUGCAUAGCUGGCCUGAGAUGGUGACCGGCCACACUGGGACUGAGACACGGCCCCGACUCCUACGGGAGGCAGCAGUGGGGAAUAUUCGACAAUGGACGAAAGUCUGAUCCAGCAACGCCGCGUGAGUGAAGAAGGUUUUCGGAUUGUAAAACUCUGUCGUUAGAGAAGCGGUAUCUAACCAGAAAGCACCGGCUAACUCCGUGCCAGCAGCCGCGGUAAUAC
rnacentral:rRNA from 1 species